rnacentral:tRNA from 1 species
GGGGAUUUAGCUCAGUGGUAGAGCACUUGCCUUGCAUGCACAAGGCCCUGGGUUCGGUCCUCAGCUCCG